UACGGGGGGAGCAAGCGUUGUUCGGAUUUACUGGGCGUAAAGGGCGCGUAGGCGGCCACCGCAAGUCGACUGUGAAAUCUCCGGGCUUAACCCGGAAAGGUCAGCCGAUACUGCGGGGCUAGAGUGCAGAAGGGGCAACUGGAAUUCUCGGUGUAGCGGUGAAAUGCGUAGAUAUCAGGAAGAACACCAAUGGCGAAAGCAGCUCUCUGGGACGGUACUGACGCUGAGACGCGAAAGCGUGGGGAGCGAACAGG
rnacentral:rRNA from 1 species